GUAUGUGUGGUGUAGCGGUUAUCACAUCCGCUUAACACGCGGAAGGUCCCCAGUUCAAUCCCGGGCGGGAAUA
rfam:Megaselia scalaris, Durham, NC isolate 2 -- Noor lab, WGS project CAQQ02000000 data, contig: ctg0000350890